rnacentral:rRNA from 1 species
UACAGAGGUCUCGAGCGUUAGGCGGAAUCACUGGGCUUAAAGCGUGUGUAGGCGGAUUCGUAAGUACCUUGUGAAAUCCCACGGCUUAACCGUGGAACUGCUUGGUAUACUGCGAGUCUUGAGCCACCUAGGGGCGAGCGGAACAGAUGGUGGAGCGGUGAAAUGCGUUGAUAUCAUCAGGAACUCCGGUGGCGAAGGCGGCUCGCUGGACCUUUUCUGACGCUGAGGCGCGAAAGCUAGGGGAGCAAACGGG